rnacentral:rRNA from 1 species
GACAGAGGUGCCAAGCGUUAGGCGGAAUCACUGGGCUUAAAGCGUGUGUAGGCGGAUUGGUAAGUACCUUGUGAAAUCCCACGGCUCAACCGUGGAACUGCUUGGUAUACUGCUUAUCUUGAGCCACUUAGGGGCCGUCGGAACAAACGGUGGAGCGGUGAAAUGCGUAGAUAUCGUUUGGAACGCCAACGGUGAAAACAGACAGCUGGGAGUGUACUGACGCUGAGACACGAAAGCCAGGGGAGCGAACGGG